rnacentral:rRNA from 1 species
CAAGCGAUGUGGAGNAACCCAAAACGUUACUCAGUUCAGAUUGCAGGCUGCAACCCGCCUGCAUGAAGUCGGAAUUGCUAGUAAUCGCGGAUCAGCAUGCCGCGGUGAAUACGUUCCCGGGCCUUGUACACACCGCCCGUCACACCAUGGGAGCCGGUAAUACCCGAAGUCAGUAGUCCAACCUCGUGAGGACGCUGCCGAAGGUAGGAUUGGCGACUGGGGUGAAGUCGUAACAAGGUAGC